rnacentral:rRNA from 2 species
AACUUAAAUGAAUUCUUCGGAAUGAUUUUAAUUGGAUUAGUGGCGAACGGGUGAGUAACGCGUGAGUAACCUGCCUUACACAAGGGGAUAGCCUCUGGAAACGGAGAAUAAUACCCUAUGACAUUACAACUUCGCAUGAAGCAGUAAUCAAAGUGUUAGCGGUGUAAGGUGGACUUGCGUCUGAUUAGCUAGUUGGUGAGAUAACAGCCCACCAAGGCAACGAUCAGUAGCCGGCUUGAGAGAGUGUACGGCCACAUUGGGACUGAGACACGGCCCAGACUCCUACGGGAGGCAGCAGUGGGGAAUUUUGCACAAUGGGGGCAACCCUGAUGCAGCGACGCCGCGUGAUUUAGAAGGCCUUCGGGUUGUAAAAAUCUUUUGUAUAGGAAGAAAAUGACAGUACUAUACGAAUAAGGUCCGGCUAAUUACGUGCCAGCAGCCGCGGUAAUAUGUAAGGACCGAGCGUUGUCCGGAAUCAUUGGGCGUAAAGGGUACGUAGGCGGUUAGAAAAGUUAGAAGUGAAAGGCUAUAGCUCAACUAUAGUAAGCUUUUAAAACUGUUUAACUUGAGAGAUGGAAGGGAAAGUGGAAUUCCUAGUGUAGCGGUGAAAUGCGCAGAUAUUAGGAGGAAUACCGGUGGCGAAGGCGACUUUCUGGCCAUUAUCUGACGCUGAGGUACGAAAGC